GUCUCAAUAGCUCAGCGGUUUAGAGCACUGGUCUCGUAAACCAGGGGUCGUGGGUUCGAAUCUCACUUGGGGCA
rnacentral:tRNA from 1 species